rnacentral:lncRNA from 1 species
AUAUUACAAACUGAGAAGUAAAUAUGUUGAUGACAGCGUAUUGUCAUCAAUGUAGAAGCAGUGUGUUGUCUUAAUGUUGCAAAUAAAACUCAAUUGGACCAAGAUGUAAUGCAAAGUAUGAUUUUUUUCGUUGCAAGCAGUUUCCUCAGUUAAUUAUGCUGUCGAAACCAAUAUUUUUUUUGUCAAAAGAAUGCCACGCUCUUCGAGUCAGCCCAUUUAUCAAAGUAUUUAACAUUUUUCUGUGUUUUUUUUUUUUGUGAGAACUGAGAAUAGAGAAAACGACAUGCUAUGGACAGCGUGUCUCUCAGGAGGCGUGUCAGAAAGAUUACGCAACGUCUUUAAGCUUCACGGAACAAUAAAAGAAAAACGAAUUAUCCUCGUGCGUGUUUUUCUGCUUAUUGCACAGUAGUCUUGCUUUUAUCGUCUAUAGAGGCGUUUUUGAAUGAGAAUCUUUGAAUACAAUUUUAACGACCAUUGAACGGCAUGUCCUGAUUUGCGAUGGACAAGUAAACAAGCGGUGUCUAUGAAACACACGUCGACGAGUCGAAAGAGAGCAGCAUUAAGGCCAACGACUUCUUUGGGAUGUUUGCGAUAAUGUCCUUCCAGAGGAUCCGGCGAUUGAGGGUUUUGAAGUUCCUUUGGUUGGAUAGUUGGAUUCAAAAGAACAUUCCUCCAUUGACACCACUCUGCACCAAAGCCCAUCAUGUAAACAAGCCUAUCAGAUACACAAGUAUAAGUAAGUUAUUGUGAUUUUUAUUGCACUUUGACUUUUUGUUGUGUGGUGUCAUAUUUUAGGAAUAUUGAGG